CAAACUCCUACGGGAGGCAGCAGUAGGGAAUCUUCCACAAUGGACGAAAGUCUGAUGGAGCAAUGCCGCGUGAGUGAAGAAGGGUUUCGGCUCGUAAAACUCUGUUGUUAAAGAAGAACACCUUUGAGAGUAACUGUUCAAGGGUUGACGGUAUUUAACCAGAAAGCCACGGCUAACUACGUGCCAGCAGCCGCGGUAAUACGUAGGUGGCAAGCGUUGUCCGGAUUUAUUGGGCGUAAAGCGAGCGCAGGCGGUUUUUUAAGUCUGAUGUGAAAGCCUUCGGCUUAACCGGAGAAGUGCAUCGGAAACUGGGAGACUUGAGUGCAGAAGAGGACAGUGGAACUCCAUGUGUAGCGGUGGAAUGCGUAGAUAUAUGGAAGAACACCAGUGGCGAAGGCGGCUGUCUAGUCUGUAACUGACGCUGAGGCUCGAAAGCAUGGGUAGCGAACAGGAUUAGAUACCCUGGUAGUCCAUGCCGUAAACGAUGAGUGCUAAGUGUUGGAGGGUUUCCGCCCUUCAGUGCUGCAGCUAACGCAUUAAGCACUCCGCCUGGGGAGUACGACCGCAAGGUUGAAACUCAAAGGAAUUGACGGGGGCCCGCACAAGCGGUGGAGCAUGUGGUUUAAUUCGAAGCUACGCGAAGAACCUUACCAG
rnacentral:rRNA from 1 species